UAAGUACUAUAAAUAACUAUGGUCACCUCUCCAUUAGUUGUAGAUUAUAAACAACGAUACAGUACACUAAGCAGUACAGUUCUUUUAUG